rnacentral:tRNA from 1 species
GGGCGUUUAGCGCAGUUGUAGCGCGUAUGCUUUGCAAGAUCUCUUGCUCCAUCUGUAUAAGGUCCAGGGUUCAAUCCCCUGAACGUCCA